AAACCAUUCUCCUUUGUUCUGUCACUAUCUGCCUGUGUACAAAUGCAAGAACAGUGUUCCCUUGUGCUGAAAUCACACAGAGAGGAAACCACCCUUUACGUGACAUAUUGGUGGGUUUUCAUUCUAUUUUUUUAAUAACAUUUACUGAAGAAAUAAAAUACUUGGGGUUUCUAAAAGGUUAAAAAUGGUGUUGCAAAUGCCAUGACUCAAACAUUUUUUUCUCAAGACCAAAGUAACAGUAAUUGAUCAGAGAGACAGAUAGCAUCUGAUGUUAAAAUCUUUCCAACCUCAGUUACAAAAAUAGCACCAGAAAGUUAUCACACGUAGAGCUGCAACAUAGGUACAGUUUACAUCACCUAAAAGAUCAAAGCUGAACGAUGUAGGGCUGAAGGUGGUGCAGUCCAGCUGCUCAGUAACAGCUAUUUCUAAGAUCAAGUCAACCACAGCUUCUCAGUGUUUCCACUGCCUCCCUUAAGCCAAUCAGUGUAACACACCAGCAGAUGCAAGCGAUGGAACACUUUGCAGCUCUAGAUUUUUAUGGCUUCCUCUCCCUGACAUAUAUAAGAGGGUGUGCCAAAUUUUGGGAGGAGCUCAGCUCUAGACACAGGAGGAGGGCUGGUAAUGGUAAGAGACCGUGUCACCUGUGCCUCUACUAUGUGCUACAGAUUGCCUUUUUAGCAUAAAAUACUUUUGGACUGCAUGUAAAUUGUAGCUCAGGCACCAUUAAUGAAGGACCAGAAAGCCAUUCUGCCCUUCCAUUAGAGCUUUUAAGUGCUGUAUUUCUACACGUAGAUCAAGAACCACUUCUUAGAAUGAUUCUUAGCCCUAGAGAAAGAAAGUCAGCAAACUAGAUAUUUUUUAUUUAUUUUUAUUUUUUUAAGAGAUGGAAAAGGUGCACUUUUUUCUCAGUGGCUGGGCUAUUUGGGACUCUGACACUCAGAUUCUGAUAACCUCUCUAUUUACAUAAACAGGUUCUUGUUCUGUAUUCCAAAAGAAAAUUCAAAUGUGGAUGACUUGGACAGUUCAAUUUCUAGUUCACCAAAAAAUCUCUGAAUUCUGUGGAUUCGCCACGGUCCUGAUAUUCACCUUGUUCUUCCUCAGGAAAGCGGCAGCUGCAGGUGUCAUCUUCCUGAAUUGACUGUUCAGGUGUGAUAUGCACUGAAGAAAAAGAAAAGAAUCACAGAAUCAACUAGGACCUCUAAUGCUCUGUUUGCCAUAGCAAUGAAAGGAAGACAACAUGGAGAAGUUAGAUUUUUGGACUGCUAUUGUCUCCCGUAUUCAGAAUUACACUAGAAGAUUAGGACCUUAUCCCUAGGACAGGGGAGAAGAAGAGAGAGAGAGACAACCCCUCAGAAAACCAAACAAGCCAACUACAAACUACGUUGAAUGCAAUUACACUCCAUCUUUGUGCUGAACUCUUGAGCUUCCUCAGCGUUUAUUAGCUCUCAGAGGGCAGUGUUGGAUUCAGGCUGCCUCUGCACCUGUGUAGCAGCACAUCCUGACUGAUAUCUCCUCUUCUACCACAGCCAGAGCUCCAAGGCGCUCACUCCAGGCCAUGUGUACUGUUUCUAAGCAGAGAGCACUCGAAAGUGUUAUAGCCACGGAUGCCAAGGAUGGUACUUGAAAGUAAUAAACUGAACUGACCCUUGACAGGAUCAGCAAGGCUCAGGUGAGCUUUUUCACCUCCCACGACUACUUCACUUGAAGGGAUAAGGAAGCAGUUUACAGAACACCCACAGUUAAGUAAGUGCCUUCUGCAGUAAAAAUUCCAGAACUGUUUUCCCUUCAGUUGUUUCUGACUUACGAGGCCAAAAAAACCGAAGCUAUUGCAACUGUCUUUAAAAGACAAUUAACCUGGAUUCCUGACUUCUCUCUAGUUUCUUAAAGAAAACUGAAGAGUGCAUUUAUCUUACUUUUUUUGAAGACAGCGUGUAGUUUCUUUUUCUGCCAGACACCGAAGCAUAUGCACAAAGGUAGCAGGAACACUAUGCACAACAGCCCAGCUACGGUGAGAAAAAUCCUGAUAAUGUCUGUCUGGAGAUCCUUCCCUAGGAAUUAAACAACAUUCUCUUAAGAGUUUUAACAGAAAAAAAUUCUACUGCCCUUGAAUUAGCCGACAGCUUUGUCUCCCACUCUGCUUCUAGCUAAGUCUGCAACACUGGAAAUGCAUAGAAGAAAGGACUCUUGCUUUAAAUGGAAAGUGAACGUAUGUUUCAAAGUAGGUCACAAUUCUUUAGCUCUAUAAGCAGCAUUGUACAAUGACUCACCUGGCCCAGUGAUAGAAAAUGGAAUUGCAAGUGAUGUGGUAGGUAGAGUAGUGGCUAAAGUGGGAUUAACUGAAGCGUGUUUGCAAAUGACAUCUUUUUCUGCAGUUCCAGGCUCCAGGAUCUGGUUUGUAGAGCACCUGAAAGACAUUUACAGCAGAACAGGGAAAAGAAAAAAAGCUACAGAAAAAAAUCCAGUAAAGUGUAAUAGCUGUAGCAUUUAGAUUACAUACUUUGUCCAGUUUUUACAGGAGCCAUUGGGCUGAUCAUUAAAAGUUCCAUACUGGCAAGUCUGGCAACCUUCAACAGACAAGGACAGGUAAAUUUGUACAAGAUAAACAUUUAAAACACAA